ACGGAAGGCAGCAGUGGGGAAUAUUGGGCAAUGGGGGCAACCCUGACCCAGCGACGCCGCGUGAGUGAAGAAGUAUCUCGGUAUGUAAAGCUCUAUCAGCAGGGAAGAAAAUGACGGUACCUGACUAAGAAGCCCCGGCUAACUACGUGCCAGCAGCCGCGGUAAUACGUAGGGGGCAAGCGUUAUCCGGAUUUACUGGGUGCAAAGGGAGCGUAGACGGUUUGGCAAGUCUGAAGUGAAAUGCGGGGGCUCAACUCCUGAACUGCUUUGGAAACUGUCGAACUAGAGUGCAGGAGAGGUAAGUGGAAUUCCUAGUGUAGCGGUGAAAUGCGUAGAUAUUAGGAGGAACACCAGUGGCGAAGGCGGCUUACUGGACUGUAACUGACGUUGAGGCUCGAAAGCGUGGGGAGCAAACAGGAUUAGAUACCCUGGUA
rnacentral:rRNA from 1 species